rnacentral:lncRNA from 1 species
CAGAAAAUUGAUGAUGACGGAAAUGAAAUUAUAUGUCCAAUUGAAGAAGCUAGAACGAACUUUCCUCAAUCUGAUAGUGGAGUCAAGGAAGAGGAGUUUGGUGAUGUGAAAAUCAGAUUACAUGGAGUUGAUGAAGAUAAAAAUGAAGAUAAAAAUGAAGAUAAAAAUGAAGAUAAAAAUGAAGAUGAAGAUGCGAUUAAAGUUAAAGACAUGAUCUAUGACAUGGACGUAGCACAUGUUGUUGAUUCAGAGACUAAUAACGAAGAGCACAUUGUAGAGGUUGACAGAUCUCAGAAAGCUGA